rnacentral:misc_RNA from 1 species
AAGUCAUGUCAACAAUCAACAAGAAACAGUAUUUUAUUUUAAGCGUCAAGCCAAGCUUAGAGAAGUAAAAAAGACUUUUUUUUUAUUAUUACUGGAUGCUUAAUAAAAAGACAGCAACUUAACUACAGCAAGAGCACUAACGACCACAUAGAAUAACAGUAUGGAGAAACAAGAAGACGAGUACACAAAAAGCGAAGUAUCUGAUAUAAAAAGCGAAACCGAAUUAGAGAACAAUGGUGUGAAAAAUACAGAAUUUCCAGUUACCAUAAAAAAUGAAUUAAAAGAAGAAAUGCUUCUACCUGAGGAUGAUACAACUAAUGAAGAUUCCAAGGAUUGGUUCAUCCAAAUGAAUACGGCAUUGUCCAUUGAAAAUGUAAAACAUGAACAAAUUAAAGAUGAUCAUGACUUGGUCAACUGUAAAAAUUUGAAGUCUGAACCAGAUAUUAAGGAAGAGGAAGACGUAAUUGCAGAAAAGCAGAGUCAAUCUGGUUCCGCCUCUGAAGAAAUACACAAUGAUGCUAACAGUGAUUUGAACUCGGACAAGCGCUUCCUAGGAGAGGACAUACAAACUGUUGAUACUUCAUUCUCUUGUGAAAUUUGCUCUAAACAGUAUUUAUUAGAACGUAAUUUAAGAAGACAUAUGAAGUGGCAUGAUGGUGAAAACAAACCGCAUGAUGAUAAAGAAAAACCUUUUGAAUGUGAAGUUUGUUUGAAACGGUUUAAAACUAAUGUUGAAGUAAAAUCGCAUAUGAGAACUCAUACUGGAGAAACAUUUAAGUGUGAACUUUGCCCCAAAAAGUAUUAUUCAAAUUCUUAUUUAAAGUUACAUAUGAAGUGGCAUAACGGAGAAACUUUUUCUUGUAAAAUAUGCUCCAAACAAUUUGUAAGAAAUUCUAAAUUCAAAGCGCAUAUGUUAAAACACAGUGGAGGGAGCAAAGAAAGACGUUUCACAUGUGCGAUCUGCUCCCAAACAUUUUUACACAAAGAUAAUUUAGCACGACAUUUAAAAUGGCACACUGGAGAAACUUACACGUGCGAGAUUUGCUUCAAACAGUUCGUUGACCGCCAUUAUUUUAACGUCCAUCUGAGAUUGCAUACGGGCGCAAAACCUUUUCAAUGUGAAAUUUGUUCAAAACAUUUUUCACACAAAUCAGCAGUAAAAGUACACAUGAGAUCACACACUGGAGAAAAACCCUUCAGCUGUGAAGUUUGCUCCAAACAGUGUGUAACCAGUUCGGAGUUAAAGGUUCAUAUGAGACAGCACACUAAAGAAGCGCCUUACGAAUGUAAAAUUUGCCCCAAGAAGUAUGCAACAAGUGGUGCAUUAAAAAGUCAUAUGACCGUGCAUAUGGAAAACCGUCCUUUUAAGUGUGAUAUUUGUCAGAAACAAUAUAAAACAAAUAAAGAUCUUCAAGUGCAUAUCAAAUCGCACACUAGAGAAAAAACUUUUUCGUGCGAAGUUUGUGCAAAACCAUUUACUACAAAUUAUUCGUUGAGAUUACAUAUGAGAACACAUACUGGAAGAAUAACCUUCACAUGCGAAGUUUGCUCCAAAGGAUUUUGCAGCAGUGCUAAUUUAAAAGUACAUAUGAGGGUGCAUACCAAUGAAUUUUUUCCGUGUCAAGUGUGCCCUAAACAAUUUUUAACAAAAUACAAAUUAAAGAUACAUAUGAGUAGGCAUACAGAUGACAGGCCUUUCCCCUGUGAAAUUUGCUCCAAACGGUUUGCAGUGAAAAAUGAGUUAACUUCACACAUGAGAUGGCACACUAGAGACGUUCUUUUUACAUGCGAAGUUUGCAACAAACAGUUUGUUACCAAGACGGUAUUAACUAGACAUAUUAUGAGACUUCAUACGGCGGAAAAACCAUUCAAAUGUGAAAUUUGCAGUAAACAAUUUGUUAGCAAGUCAGAAUUAACUAAUCAUAUGAUAACUCAUACGGGUGAAAAACCAUUCUUCUGCGAAAUUUGCUGCAAACAGUUCGGUACCAAAAGAUCAUUAACUAAUCAUAUGAGAACUCAUAUGGAUGAAAACCCAAUUCAAAUGUGAAGUUUGCUUUAAAGAUUUUGCAACUAAGUUCUUAGUGCAGCCAAUGGAGUUUUUACUUGAAGGUUCCUCUGAAGAAAUACACAAUGGUGCUAACAGUGAUUUGAACUCGGAUAAACGCUUCGUAGAAGAGGACACAAAAACUGUUG